GAUGAACGCUGGCGGCGUGCCUAAUACAUGCAAGUCGAGCGAACAGACGAGGAGCUUGCUCCUCUGACGUUAGCGGCGGACGGGUGAGUAACACGUGGAUAACCUACCUAUAAGACUGGGAUAACUUCGGGAAACCGGAGCUAAUACCGGAUAAUAUAUUGAACCGCAUGGUUCAAUAGUGAAAGACGGUUUUGCUGUCACUUAUAGAUGGAUCCGCGCCGCAUUAGCUAGUUGGUAAGGUAACGGCUUACCAAGGCAACGAUGCGUAGCCGACCUGAGAGGGUGAUCGGCCACACUGGAACUGAGACACGGUCCAGACUCCUAAGGGAGGCAGCAGUAGGGAAUCUUCCGCAAUGGGCGAAAGCCUGACGGAGCAACGCCGCGUGAGUGAUGAAGGUCUUCGGAUCGUAAAACUCUGUUAUGAGGGAAGAACAAAUGUGUAAGUAACUAUGCACGUCUUGACGGUACCUAAUCAGAAAGCCACGGCUAACUACGUG
rnacentral:rRNA from 1 species